GAUGAACGCUGGCGGCGUGCUUAACACAUGCAAGUCGAACGGUGAAGCGGGAGCUUGCUCUUGUGGAUCAGUGGCGAACGGGUGAGUAACACGUGAGCAACCUGCCCCUGACUCUGGGAUAAGCGCUGGAAACGGCGUCUAAUACUGGAUAUGUGAUGUGACCGCAUGGUCUGCAUCUGGAAAGAAUUUCGGUUGGGGAUGGGCUCGCGGCCUAUCAGCUUGUUGGUGAGGUAAUGGCUCACCAAGGCGUCGACGGGUAGCCGGCCUGAGAGGGUGAACGGCCACACGGGGACUGAGACACGGCGCAGACUCCUACGGGAGGCAGCAGUGGGGAAUAUUGCACAAUGGGCGGAAGCCUGAUGCAGCAACGCCGCGUGAGGGAUGACGGCCUUCGGGUUGUAAACCUCUUUUAGCAGGGAAGAAGCGAAAGUGACGGUACCUGCAGAAAAAGCACCGGCUAACUACGUGCCAGCCGCCGCCGUAA
rnacentral:rRNA from 1 species